GUGGGGCGCUGACGCGCUCCUCCCCGGAGCGUAUGGCAGCGCAGCGCCGGACGGGGCGUUCUCCCUCCCCCCCUCCUCUCGCUUCCAUCUCCGCCGUCUCCUCGGUCUCCCUUCCCAUCCCGGCCCCUCCUCCGCCAGCCGCGUCCUCCCGGGCUUGGUGAGGAACUGUUCCUGGAGGAGCCGCGGGACGCCAAAACCAGCCAAUGGGAAGCGGCGAUUCGCGGAGAUUGGCACUGAUGAUGGGAAGGAAUAUUGAUCUCAGCGUUACUUUGACCAUUAAUGAAUUAUGAUGGCAAUAAGCAAAGAUUCGCACCUCUAGCCUCCGGGGAGCUUAAUCUUCUGCUACAACAUUUGCAUUUGGUGUCUCUCUACUGCUCAGGCUGGAGUGCAGUGGUGCGAUCAUAGCUCACUGCAGCCUCGACUUCCUGGGCUCAGGUGACCCUCUCGCCUGAAACCAUAUUCCCCCUCAAGUAGCUGAGACUACAGAGACAAGGUCUCACUAUGUUGCCUAGGCUGGUCUUCAACUCCUGGCCUGAAGUUAUCCUCUCAUCUUGGACUGCCAAAGUGCUGGGAUUUGGCACCACUGAGCCAAAUCCCAGGCGUGAGCCACUGAGCCUGGGCUGUUCUUCCUUCUUUAUAGGCUUAAAAACCUUCAAAAAUUAUCUCAAGAUUAUCCACUCCAGGAAGAACUUGAGCCUCAUUGAUUGAAUUGGUGUACUUCUCCUCCCUUCCUAUAGCAUUUUCUUUAUGUGUCUAUCCUAGCACUUCUCACACAGUGUUGAAUUCAUCUGUCCACCUGGCUCAUCAUACAAAUUGUUCCAUGAGUUCAAGGAUCAUGCUGCAUGCUGGAUUCCCCCGGAAGCUGAUUCUGAGAUGGAGUUUAGUGUACUAAAUAUUUAUGUGGGCCUUUGGAUCAUCACCUGUGAAAAGGAAGAGAAGGAAGCAGGAGUGGACCUAGGGUGAAGUGAAGCUCUGAUGCAAACCUGACAACUGCCUCACCUGACACCAUGAAGAGCUCUGGAGCUAGAAUGGCCUUUUGUUGUUCUGAAUUGGUGUGAGGUAGCUAGGUCUUUACACCCCUGCCACCACCCAUUAUUGGGUAUGGGCCAACCAGGAAGGGGCAUGACCAUGAGUGAUGCAGCUCUGCAGCUGAAGCAAUAACUGAAGAGGCUGACAGCUGAGGGCCAUCUGCUGACAGUACUCCCUGCAGCUGGGCAGCACAUCCUUUCUCAAAAGGGGAUCAAGGCAGUUGCAUCUCCGUGUCCACCAUGGACUAUAUAUUUUUUCUUUGCAUUCCUAGGGCCUCCCAUAGUAUAUGGCACAUAGUAGGCAAAACUGGAGGUCUGUAGGGCAAAUUCAGCUAGUAGAUGAGUAUUGUUUUUUCACCCACAAAGAGAUUUUUAAAAAUUAGUUGUCAACAUUUAAAAAUAAAAAGAUUUCACAUUGAAAAAAAAAAAAAAAAA
rnacentral:lncRNA from 1 species